UACGUAGGUGGCAAGCGUUGUCCGGAUUACUGGGCGUAAAGAGCGCGCAGGCGGUCGGAUAAGUCGAAUGUGAAAGCCCCCGGCUCAACUGGGGAGGGUCAUUCGAUACUGUUCGACUCGAAGGCAGGAGAGGGAAGUGGAAUUCCCGGUGUAGUGGUGAAAUGCGUAGAUAUCGGGAGGAACACCAGUGGCGAAGGCGACUUCCUGGCCUGUUCUUGACGCUGAGGCGCGAAAGCUAGGGGAGCAAACGGG
rnacentral:rRNA from 1 species